UUUUUCUUUAGUUUUAAUCGUGUGAAACCCGGAACUACCCGUUGCUGGCGGAAGAGUUUAAAUUGGUGUAAGUUGGCGCAACAACGAUUAGCGCUUCCUUCGAUAUCACUUAACAGCCGCAAGGACAAUUGAACCUACGUUAGAAAAAUGCCAGUGAAUAAAAUCAGUUCAAAAGGUGUUAAAAUUCUUCAACGGAGAAAAAGUAAGGACAGUGAACUUUCCGAAAAGAAGAUAGGUACACUGUUCCUCUCUGACUGUUCCUUCAAUCAUCAAGUGAGGCGCCAUUAUUAGAGCAUCUAAGAUUAUCCAUUCUCGAUGCAGUGUCAACACAGCAAAAGUUGCCGUUUAAGAAAUUGCUACCAGCAGUAGGAUCUAUUAUUUCCGGGAAAAAUUUUGGCAUUCCGGGUACUUUUAUUCAUUUGGUGCCCCUCUGAUUGAAAGCCUUUGACCGGCUAGAGAAAAUGGAGCUUCGUGGUUUCUGAGUUAAUGGUUUUUAAGUGUACAAUUGGCUGACAAAUCCGGAAAAACAAGCUAAAGAAUCGGAAUUCAAUACUGCAUUGAGCGAACCUGUCAUGGCAAUGCUUCUUGACAAUGUUUGCGCCUUCGGAAAUCCGUUUUGUUGCACCCGCUGUUCCACCCCUUUCCGGGAGCACAACUUUUCGAUUGCACCUGGUGAACUUUCCUCGUAACCAAAGAAAUCAUCCCGCUGUGUUCGCAUGGUGGAGUAAAAACCAAUAUCAACAUUCAACAUGGCAGCGAAUAUAUAAGAUUUUUGGUAAGAAUUCAGCAUUGAUUUAUCAAAUGAGCGAUAGUUAUGCGUGACGUU